rnacentral:rRNA from 1 species
CCUACGGGAGGCAGCAGUGGGGAAUAUUGGACAAUGGGCGAAAGCCUGAUCCAGCAAUGCCGCGUGUGUGACGAAGGCCUUAGGGUUGUAAAGCACUUUCACCCGCGAGGAUGAUGACGGUAGCGGGAGAAGAAGCCCCGGCUAACUCCGUGCCAGCAGCCGCGGUAAUACGGAGGGGGCGAGCGUUGUUCGGAAUUACUGGGCGUAAAGGGCGUGUAGGCGGCCUUGUCAGUCAGGCGUGAAAUCCCCGGGCUCAACCUGGGACGUGCGCUUGAUACUGCAGGGCUUGAGAGCGAGAGAGGUAAGCGGAAUUCCCAGUGUAGAGGUGAAAUUCGUAGAUAUUGGGAAGAACACCAGUGGCGAAGGCGGCUUACUGGCUCGUUUCUGACGCUGAGGCGCGAAAGCGUGGGGAGCGAACAGGAUUAGAUACCCUGGUAGUCCACGCCGUAAACGAUGUGUGCCAGACGUCGGGGGUUAGGCCUUCGGUGUCGCAGCUAACGCAUUAAGCACACCGCCUGGGGAGUACGGCCGCAAGGUUAAAACUCAAAUGAAUUGACGG